rnacentral:rRNA from 1 species
ACGGGAGGCAGCAGUGGGGAAUAUUGGGCAAUGGGCGCAAGCCUGACCCAGCAACGCCGCGUGAAGGAAGAAGGCUUUCGGGUUGUAAACUUCUUUUAUCAGGGACGAAGGAAUGACGGUACCUGAUGAAUAAGCCACGGCUAACUACGUGCCAGCAGCCGCGGUAAUACGUAGGUGGCAAGCGUUAUCCGGAUUUACUGGGUGUAAAGGGCGUGUAGGCGGGAGUGCAAGUCAGGCGUGAAAUCUAUGGGCUUAACUCAUAAACUGCUUUUGAAACUGAAUCCCUUGAGUAUCGGAGAGGCAGGCGGAAUUCCUAGUGUAGCGGUGAAAUGCGUAGAUAUUAGGAGGAACACCAGUGGCGAAGGCGGCCUGCUGGACGACAACUGACGCUGAGGCGCGAAAGCGUGGGGAGCAAACAGGAUUAGAUACCCUGGUA